rnacentral:tRNA from 2 species
CGGAAUGUAGCGCAGUUUGGUAGCGCAUCUGCUUUGGGAGCAGAGGGUCGCAGGUUCGAAUCCUGUCAUUCCGA